rnacentral:miRNA from 1 species
AGGGCGUAGAGAGAGAAAGAGAGAGAGAGAGAGAGAGAGAGAGAGAAGGGGAGACAGUGUCAGAUCGUGCAGAUCAGCCAUAGAUUUAAUGGUACACUGGUUCACCCAGAGCCACCGUUUCGUUCCACCUCGAUUUUAGCUUUCGCUAAGCCAAAGAAGUCUCUCUCUCUCUCGCUCUCUCUCUCGUUCUCGUUCUCUUUCUCUCAAUCC